rnacentral:tRNA from 1 species
CAGAGGCUAGUUUUAUUAAAACAGUUGCUUUGGGGGUAACAGAUACAGAAAAAUCUGUGCUUCUGA